GUUCUCUGAGGCUGGGACUCUGGGAAGAACGCAGAGGAGGUUCCACCAAGAGGAGGCGCCUUCUCAGACGGCACUCAACUCGGGUCUGCAAAUAUUUGCUCUUCCCUCUGGCACCAGCUUGGGUAUCCGGCUGGCUCUCUGGAGAGCUAAACUCAAGGACCUUUCAACAUUGGGUGGCUAAAGACUCCGUCAGACAGAAAGACACUGAGCCGGGAAAUAACGCAGUUUCUGCAGCAGAGCCUCGCUUACUGGAGCGCAGGAAGAGCACAAAAUGGACAAGAGGCUAAAGAAGGAGAUGGGGUAGAAGGAACCACAGAGCCCAUAGCACGCUGGUACCCACUGAGGGAUGAUGCAGUGAAGAUCCAGACUGUGACUAUCUACAGAGCAAAGGAGACAACCGAGGGUCCAAGAAAGAAGUAGCAUUUUCAGUGGAGACUGAGACAAACCAAAGGCCUGCAGAUCAGGAGAACAGGACCUGAUGCGGGGAGGCACAGCCCAGAAGGAGCAGAAAUAGAGAGUGCCAUUCUGACCUGUAGGAGCUGCAAACCCACUGUGCUACAGUUUCUCCCACCCUGCCACCCAAGCCAUCGGAUUCACCAUUCUGAGCUAACUCCUCGAAGACAAACCCCCAGAAAAGUCGCUACAACUGUGAAAUCGUGUUCUGAUAAACCGACUUCUGGAACUAGAAACUUGGUCAGAUUAGAUUCCGAAGACUGCUCCGAGCAUCAGUAAGGUUUGGCGACACAGGGACGUGGCGAGUGGCUGGUGGGUUCAGAGACUACGCAUCCCAUCCUUUAAAUCCAUUACACAGAAGCGACCUGCCAGUCCCAGGACUUCCUGCCUGGUGACUAUGACAGGCACAUGCUCUGUCCUAUCCUGAGUCCCCUUAAGCACAUAAGGGGCAGCCUACCCUGCCUUAGGAAAGUGACAUCAUCAAACUUCUUAGGUGCUAAGAAGACACCGAAGCAAAGAGAAGGUCCUCCUGCUGAGUGUCUUUCUAACCCCCUCGGCCAGCCCAGUUACCUCUCUGGUUAUCUCUUGUUCCCUUUUCAACCAGCAGUCUACACAGGGAAGAACUGUGUGGGAAUGGAAGCCAGGGCCUGGAGACAUUUUCUCACCGUUACUAGGGUAAGGUGUUACUGCCAUUUAACAUGUAAAGGCCAGGGAUGUGACGGGACUUUGCAUGGAAGGGGCUGGCUAGGAGUGCAACUCUGACGGUUAGAUGUACUGUGCUACAUUUCUCCUAAUCUGCUACCCACUGACACGCCACAACCCAGAACCACCUGGCCUGACAGAUCAAUAGAGCUGAGGCAGAGAGACACCUGCUUCUCAGCAGGGCUCGCUCCCUCCAGUUGCUUCUCUCUGCAGAGUGAGCUUUUCAAGGCAGCUGAUGGCGUCUCUCUGCCCUUCGGUGACUCUGAAUUCUUGCCACCCAAUGUAAAGAGCCCUCUCUCUUUAGAGGUGUGACCCUGCCUCUGAAGCCCCCACAACUUCCUUCUUUAGAACCAGUGUGUUGAUCACACGAAUGUCAUCCCUGUCCCCAGGCUUCUAGACAUGCGGCAAGCUGACCCAGCAGUCUUAAGGCCAUCUUCUCCCUGGUGUUUGGGGCUGUGUGGGAUCUCUCCAAAACUUUAUGCUGUAGGCCUGUUAGUAUCUCGUAAUGGGGCGUAUUUGUCUUCAGAGAUGUAGUACAUUAAAAUGAGGCAUUAGAGCAGA